CAUGAUGGCUAUGCUGAUUAGCUUGAUGUAACCAUUUUACACUGUAUAAAUCUAUCAAAACAUCACAUUGGAAUCCACAAAUGCAUAUAAUUACAAUUUGUCAAUUAAAAGUAAUAUCAUUAAAAUGUUUAAAAACUAAAUACACUUUUAUGAUACAAUCUAGCAAUCAUGAUCUUUAGCAUUUAUCCAAGUAAGUUGAAAACUUACGUGCACACAAAAACCUGAACAUGGAUAUUUAUAGCAGCUUUAUUCACAAUUGCCAGCAACAAAAACGUCCUUCAAUGGGUAAAUGGAUAAAUUGUAGUAGAUACAGAUAAUGAGAUGUUACUCACUAAUAAAAACAAUAAGCUAUCAAGCUAAUGAAAAGAUAUUGAGGAAACAUAAAUGCAUAUUACUAAGUGAAAAAUGCCAAUCUGAAAAGGAUACUUACUGUAUGAUUCCAACUGUAUGACAUUCUGGAAAAAGCAAAACUAUGGAGACAGUAAAAAGAUCACUGGUUGCCAGGAUUUAGGCGGGAGGGAGGAAUGAAUAGGUGAUAGGUGGAGCACGGAAAAUUUUUUUUUUUUUUUUUUUUGAGACAGGGUCUUGCUCUGUCACCCACACUGGAGUGCAGUGGUGCAAUGUGGGCUCACUGCAACCUCCACCUUUCGAGUUCAAGUGAUUCUCCGGGCUCAGGCUCCUGAAUAGCUGAAAAUACAGGCGUCCACCACCACACCCAGCUAAUUUUUGUAUUUUUAUAGUACAGGUAGGGUUUCACCAUGUUGGCCAGGCUGGUCUCAAACUCCUGACCUCAACUGAUCCACCCGCCUUAGCCUGCUAAAGUGCUGGGAUUACAGGCAUGAGCCACCAUGCCCAGCUGAGCACAGAUAAUUUGUAGGACACUGAAAAUACUCUGUAUGAUAGAAUAAUGGUGGAUACAUGCCAUCAGAUAUUUAUCCAAACUUUUAGAACGUACAACACUAAAAGUGAACCCUAAUGUAUACUAUAACCUUUGGGUGAUAAUAUGUCAAUGUAGGUUCAUCAACUGCAACAAAUGUACCACUCUGGUACAGGAUAUUGAUAAUGGGGAAGGCCAUGUAUGUGGGAGUAGAGGCAGAGUAGAUGGGAAAUCUAUAACCUUCCUUUCAAUUUGGUGGUGAAAUUAGAAUUGAGCUAAAAACUAAAGCUUACUUUUAAAAAAUCACUGAGACAUAUUAAAGACAAAGUAACUAAAUGGAAGGCUAUACAAUGUUUGAGAACUAUUAACAGAAAACUCAAUAUUG
rnacentral:lncRNA from 10 species